GCCUCAUCAACUGCUUCAAUCUUCUCGUGCGUGACUUUCACUAGGGGUGACCCUUCACCAUAAUGAACAAGGCGAACAGAGCCAACAGAAAAGCCAUCACCUUCAACAACAUCAAUCCUCUUGUACUCUUCAGGCAUGGCCUUUGGGAAGAGUGUGGUGGACUCCCUAAUCCCAUGCCAGAACUUCUCUGGUUUAGACUUCAGCUCCACUUCUACUUCUAGCUUUCCUGUUGAACCCAUUCUUUCUCUUCUCUAUGAUCCUUUGAUCAACAACAAAUCGAAGCCUGACAAAAGUGUGUGAGUGAG
rnacentral:misc_RNA from 1 species